rnacentral:lncRNA from 1 species
CAGAGCCGAAGAGCCAGGCGCAGCCCCGGGGGAACCGAGAGCAGCAGGCCUUGUCCUCAGUUGUUCCGUGUCUCUUCUCUGAGUUCCUUCCUGUUCCCUCUGCCCUUUCAGGCUCUUCAUAAGCCCAGCUCGAGGAAAAGGACUGAUUUAACCACUUACAGCUCGUUGUGACUUGAGGUCAAUAGGCAGCCUUUUUCUGGAGAAUUUGCGUUUUGGGGCCUCAUUUGUGAUUCGGGAACAAAAGACUCCAUGGAAAGUCUAAUGAGCUCUAUCCUGCCCCUUCAGAGUAUCCAUUAUUAUUUUUUCAAUUUUUUUUUAUUAAUCAAUGAAUUUUAUUACAUUUAUAGUUGUACAACAACAUUUUAUAGCUGUACCUGUGACAUAGGGAAACUCCCAGGCCAGGGGUUAAAUCCAGUCACAGGUUCUGACCUAGGCAGCUGAGGCAGCUCUGAAUCCUUUAACCCACUGCGCUGUGCCCGGGAUCAAACCUGCGCCUCCAGAGCAGGUUUGCGGCAGCUCAUCUGUCUGUCUGUCUGUCUGUCUAUAUAUCUAUCAUCUAUCCAUCUAUCUAUCCAUCUAUCUAUCUAUCUAUCUAUCCAUCCAAUUGAAGUAUGGUUGAGCCACAGUUAGUUUAGCUAAUAUAAGCUAAGUCACAUUAGCUUCAGGUGACAGGUUACGAUUUUUUUUUUUUUACUUUUUAGGGCCACACUUGGGGCAUAUGGAGGUUCCCAGGCUAGGGGUCCAAUCAGAGCUACAGCUGCUGACCUACACCACAGCCACAGCAACAUCAGAUCCAAGCUGUGUCUGUGACCCACACCAUAGCUCACGGAAAGGCCAAGCCUUAACCUACUGAGUGAGGCCAGGGAUCGAACCUGCAACCCCAUGGUUCCUAGUCGGACUCAUUUCCGCUGCUUCAUGAUGGGAAUUCCCAGGUUAGGUAUUUUAAUGAGGACAUUGUAUUCGUUUGCUAGCACUGCCAGAAUCAGUACUACCGACAGAGUGGUUUAAACAAUAGAAAUUUAUUCCUCACGGUUCUGGAGGCUAGAAGUCCAAGACCAAGGCAUUGGCGGGCUUGGUUUUCUCAAGGCCGUCUUCUCCCUGAGUCUUCACGUGCCUUCUCUUCUGCGCCCGUGCCCGUCCUGGUCCUCUCUUCUCUAAUCAUAUUGUGUUGGGAGAAUACACAUCCAUCCACACGACCUCCUGUUACGGGAGUUACCUCUGUAAAGGCUCUGUCUCUAGAUACAGUCCCACGCCGAGGUACUGGGGUUAGGACUCCACAGUGUGAAUUUGGGGGAGCACAAUUCAACCCACAACAGUCACCCAGCCGAGUGAAAGGCAGCAUAGCCCAGGGAUUCAAUAUCCUCUAUUAAGAGUCAGGAAGACUGAGGUGAGAAAUUUUGACUUUAUAAUUCCUUGGAAGUGUUAUUUAAUUUUUUGGAACCUUAGUUGCUUCCUCCGUUAAAUGGAAAUAAAAAUCAUUACCGUGGCUCCGAGGAAACAAAUCCAACUAGUAUCCAUGAGGAUACAGGUUCGAUCUCUGUAUCCUCACUCAGUGGGUUAAGGAUCCGGUGUUGCCGUGAGCUGUGGUGUAGGUUUCAGAUGCAGCUCAGAGCUGGCAUUGCUGAGACUGUGAUGUAGGCUGGCAGCUACAGCUCCGAUUCUACCCCUAGGGUGGGAACUUCCAUAUGAAACAGGUGCCACCCUAAAAAGACACACACACACACACACACACACAAGUCAUUACGGCGCUAGCCCUAUUCAGUGAGGUGAUGUGUGCAGCACGGACUGAAAGGACAGGUAAAUGCUAGACAACUGCCCGUGCUAGCAGCUGUUGUGGCUUCUGUUGAUAUCAUUGUUCCUGGUGUUAUUACCACUUUCUUUUUCUAAAAAAUGGGGCUAAGAAAAUGCCCACUUAGAGUUGUUGUGAGAAUGGCAUGCAAUGACGCAUGGCCAAAAAGCUUGUACUGCGCCUGCCACAGAGCAAGAGCUCAGAAAAAGGGAGCUGUGCCAUCGCCUUCAUGGGACAAGAGCCCAGUUUUCCAGGCGCUAUGUCUUCCUUUUAUCUCACUGAAUAGGAUCUGAUGUAGCCAAACUGUGUCUAUAUUUAAUAAAAUGCAAAUUUCCUCGUCAGGGAAGUUUUAACCAGAAAAUCCACCGAUUUUAUGCAGGAGCUCAUAUUUUAGUUAUUAAGACCUGGAAUGAUAUUUUAGUUAUUGAAACACAGGAGAAUGCACACCUUAUAAAAUGAUUCAGCUAAAGGGAGGUGGGAUCUGUGUUUUGAAUAAAUAGUAAAGAAGAGCUCAGGUUCAAGGUGGGUGAUUAAUCGUUUGAUACCUUGUCAGCCUUUGACAAGUUCUCCCUCUAUUUUUUUUUUUAAAUGCUUCUCACCAUGUCUUGUGUAAUUAAGAAAUGGUGCUGGGUUCUUGUCAUCCACCAUUAAGGACUAGUCAUAGAUAGUUUCAUAACAUCUGCUUCUUGCAACCUUCUAAUUAUCCAUAAAAAUCUGGCAGAAGGACUUGACAGUUUAUUCAGAAAGCAGAAUCUGAAUACAAAAUAGGAUGCUUUGCUUCUCGAUGCAGAGUGCUGUAGAACAGGUCCUCUCUAACCUCUUAUUUUGCAUGCAGCUCUGUUGCCCGCACAAAUCAGAUCUGGGUGCAUGUCUCCUCCAUAAAGACUCAAUUUUGAAAAGCAUCUUUUGACAAAAUGAAUGUGGGUCAGGAAUAUGUUAAUGGCGCUGUGUCAGAAUCUGCUGUCAGUCGCUGCCCUAAUAUUCUCUUUGCAAUCCAGCCAGAUGCUGUUACUUCUGUUAUUUCCCUGCCCUCAUCUCAGGCUUUGAGCUGUCUCUGCCUGAUAGGAAGCAGAGGGACUCUUGAGUCCAGACACUUGCCUCUAGCAAGGUCAGCUCUUAGCCUCCAGUUGCUCGUUUCCAGUAGUGAGUGUGUUUCUUGCCCACAAACCUGUCUGGAUUUCCAACUCAAUGUGGGAAAUGCCUCUUCCUGAAUCCCUCCUUUCUGUGUGUUUGGUCUUUGGAGCUACUGCUGAUUGUUGGUCACCAUGUCUUCCCUCUGCUCACGUGUCCCUCCAACAUCCAUUUGGACCAGUGGGUGAUUUGCCCUUUGGAAUGCACAGAGGGCUCUCUGCCCAUUGGGUUUUAGACUCCUAGUUUGUUGAGGCCUCUGGGUUUUUUGUGUUUCUAAUCUCCUCUGGCUGUGACCUCACAGUCUUGCCUCAGCUCUCCUGGUCCUGCUGUCUUUCAUUCUCUGUGUCCUACUACCAGUGAGAAGUAAAAUAAUAAUACUAAUACUAAUACUAUUCCUAUUUCUCAUUAACUGAGUGCUUUUUGUACUACAAUGACCUUCAGAGAUAAGGAACAUGAUUUGCUUUGUAAUUUUUUUUUUGUCCGAUAAAGGGCAGAUAGUUUUAUUAAACCUGCAGACCCUGGAUUGGAACCCAAGUCUGUCCUGCUUCAGCCUGAGUUCUUGGCACCCAGUCAGUGACCUCAUGAGGCAGCACAUUACAGCUCAGAACUGUCACUUCUCUGUGGUAUUCACUCCUCCAGUAAACACUGAGAAAGUAGCUAAAUGUAACAUUUUACAAAUAUAUAUGAGAUUAAAUAUUUAAUUUUUGAAUUUUAUCAGCUCUGUGGUUCCCAUUUUACAAAAAACUAAAUGGAGGCAUGGGGUUUCGGUGUGUUGAAAAGUCCACAUGUCAGCAAGGGAGCAGAAGGUUCUUAGCAAGGCACUAGAGUGGCUUUUUGAAAGUAGCCCUCCUCUGUGUAUGAGGUGGGGUGAGGAGGAAGUCAGUUCAAGGUCUGGUCCAGAAUCUUGAUCUCUGGUACAUUACCUGACUUCUCUCUCCCUUCAUCUUAAAAAUUGCUAAGUUUAGCUUUGAGUUUUCUGGCAGCCAAAGUCGACUCAUGGCUCCCAGUUCCAGAGGAGUGGUCACAAAACAAGAUAACUGAGGUUUCGCCCCAUCAUAGUUCCUGGUUCACAAAGAUUUUAUUCAUAGUAAUCCACCUUAUCCACUAAGCAUUGGGGAUACUCUUACUCAACUGAUGUGAUGUCUCUGAGUUGGGAUCGCCUGAGCCAGUCUCAUGUCCAGAAAAGAUCCCACCUUCCUCAUCACAUGUCAGAAUCUGAGCUGCCAUGAGAAGCCCCGACCACCAUCCUGCCCUCUGCGACUCUUGCAUCUCCCUGGAGUGGCAAAGAUUCCAGGGACUUGAAAGAAAAACCAGAGGCAAAUGAGCAAAGGAAAGCUGAGAUGUGGGUCUUGGCCCUGUGCUGAACCGAGAGGCGUGGGGUGGGGAGGCUUGGCUUUGAAUCUCGAGCCCUCUAGUUCUUGGCUGUCCAGUGUGGAAGCCUGCCCCAGGCAGUGUCACCUGGAAGCUAGUUAAUAAAGGUGCACCCUCUCAGGCCCCACCGCACACCUGCUGGAGCAUUUUGACAAGAUUCCCAGGUGACUUGUGUGCACAUUCAAGUCAAAGGAGCACUGCUGGCUUAUGAAUCCAUAGCAAUAUUUAACAUUCACCUCCAAAGGGCGACACAUGUUAUACAGAGGCCCUUUGGAGGGGCCCGGGAAACUUGCUGCUGUCACUGAGAAAGGAAGGACUCUGGACCUAAGUGCUGUAGAUAUAAUGCAAUUCGGGUAAAAGGCAGAGCCAAGGGGGCUGGGGCUUUGGGCGAGGAUAUUCCUUUGGGUUGCUGCGCUAUGUGCCACAAUGGCGUGGUACUGAAACAUAAGUCAUGUGGUUCAGUUACAGACAGGGACACUGUUCCAGCCUCUCCUUAGAAAGCAAAUGGUCUGGGGUAAGGUGAUGCGACAAAGGGAAACCGUUCUGUAAACCUUUCUGCUUUUCCUGUGGUCUCUUUGUCCCGCUGCAGAGAGAACCUCCUGGUGCUGGCACCUACCAGGUAAGGGGUCUCUAGCCCGGACCCUCUACCUUGAGAGGCCCUGGGUGCUCUGGGAGUGGGUGGUGAUUGGAGAGCCAGGUGGCUGGUGGGGCUGAGUGGUAUAAUAGCCCUGUGUCCAUCUCUGAAAACCCUUGGGGCACGAGCUCCAGCUGGGGGCAUAGCAUGCCCGCUGUCAGAGCUGCAAGCUCUUUAAUGGGACUUCGAGUCCAGGCGUCAGAAUGAAGGUGCGCUUCAAACUUUAGCCUCUGGCUUCAGGAUACUGAGCUCAGAGCUAUUGCUGCCCCCUUGGUGAUGACCUGUUUGCUAUUUCUCAAUUUCUUUCUUGAUUCAUUUCUUAAAUGUUCUACUUUUUUUGGGAGCUCAAAAAAAAUUUUUUUAUUAGCUCUUCACCAGUUUUUAUCUUUUCAAAAUUUUAAAAAUUAAAGUAUAGUUGAUUUACAAUGUUCCGCCAAUUUCUGCUGUACAGAAAAGUGACCCAGUCAUAUAUACAUAUAUAUUCUUUUUCUCAUGUUAUCUUCCAUCAUGUUCUAUCAUAAGUGAUUGGAUACAGUUCCUGGCGCUGUGGAGCAGGGCCUCAUUGCUUAUCAUUCUAAAUGUAAUAGUUUGCAUCUACUAACCCCAGACUCCCCAUCCAUCCCACCCCCUCCCCGUCCCCUUGGCAACCACAAGUCUGAUCUCCAUGUGUGUGAGUCUGUUUCUGUUCUGUAGGUAUGUUCAUUUGUACCAUAUUUGUUUGUUUAUUUAUUUAGCCAUUUCUUGGGCUGCUCUUGCGGCAUACGGAGGUUCCCAGGCUAGGGGUCAAAUCGGAGCUGUAGCCACUGGCCUUUGCCAGAGCCACAGCAACGUGGGAUCCGAGCCACGUCUGUGACCUACACCACAGCUCACAGCAAUGCCGGAUCCUUAACCCAGGGAGCAAGGCCAGGGAUUGAACCCGCAACCUCAUAGUUCCUAGUCGGAUUCGUUAACCACUGCGCCACGACGGGAACUCCUUUUUGUACCAUAUUUAGAUUCCACAUAGAAGUGAUAGCAUAUGGUGUUUGUCUUUCUCUUUCUGACUUACUUUGCUCAGUAUGAGAAUCUCUAGUUGCAUCCAUGUUGCUGCAAAUGGCAUUAUUUUGUGUUUUUUUUGUGGCUGAGUAGUAUUCCAUUGUGUAUAUGCCCUUUUAUCAUGAAGUAGUUACCUUCUUUAUCUUUCUUUAUGGCCUUUGUUUUAAAGUCUAUUUUGUCUGAUAUGAGUAUUGCAACUCCUGCUUUCCUGUCUUUUCCAUUGGCAUGAAAUAUCUUUUCCCAUCCCCUCACUUUCAAUUCAUAUGUCUCCUUUGCCCUAAGGUGAGUCUCUUGUAGGCAACAUAUUGUGGGCUUUUUUUUUUUUUAUCCAGUCUGCCACCCUACAGCUUUAGAUUGGAGCAUUCGGUCCAUUGACAUUUAAGAUAAUUAUUGAUAAAUAUGUAUUUAUUGCCAUUUUAAACCUUGUUUUCCAGUUGAUUCUCCUUUGUUCCUUUAUCUAUUUAUUUAUUUUGGUCAGAUGUGUUCGUUUAAUUUUACGCUGUGUCCUCUUCUUUCUGGUUUUUGUGAAUGUAUUGUUUGGUUUGGCUUUAUGGUUGCCCUGUUUUUCGAGUAUGUUAAGCCCUUCCUAUAGUUGCUUGCUGUAGCCUAAUAGACAUAUAGACUCAAGCACAUUCUUAAAAAAAAAAAAAA